AAAUCUUACCUUCUUCGCAGGGAUAGCUCUGUGACAGUGCUCCCGGCUAUGAUUCCUUUUUCAUUUUACCAAAAGUAGAUCUUUGUUCUUACAAUUUUAUUCUGAUCAUGUUUUCCUCUCCCACAACUUCCCGCUGUCAUCCAGACUGCACACUGUUUUUCCUUAGUAAACAAAUAGGCAUCUAAAGAAAAUAAAAUAGGAUAAAAUAGAAACAAAUCAGAGUAGACAAAACAAACAUACAGAAGAGGAAGAGCCAAAGAAAAAGCAAGAGGACACAUACAGAGAUGUACACAUCUGGACACAUAGGAAUCUCGUAGAAACACAAAACUAGAAGCCAUAAUAUAUCCACCCAAAGGACCUUUAAGGAACUAAAGAAAAAGAAAAAUGCCCUUGAUACAACAUUAUGAGACAAAGAACCUCAAAAGAUGCCGUUCAGUUUCCUCUUGUCCAUCUACUGCUGGGCAUGGGGCCGAUCCUUAAGAGUGGUUUGUUUCUGCCAUGAGAUUCCCUUCGAAAAAACUAAUUUUUCACUUGCAAGCAGUUACCUGUUAGUGCUGGCUUCUGGGUUAGGGAAGGAGCUCGUCCCCACUUCUCUUGAUUCUGCGACCCUGUCUAGGGUAGCUCUGGACAGGCUCCGUGCAAGCUGCCUCUGUCUCUGAGUUUGUAAGUACUGUUUGUAAGGCCUUGUGCAUUAGGCUUUGUUUCCUUAAUGUCUUUCAUUCCCUCUCACUCUUACACUCUUUUUGCUUCCUCUCCUGCGGGAUUCCCUAAGCC
rnacentral:lncRNA from 1 species